GACGAACGCUGGCGGCGUGCUUAACACAUGCAAGUAGAACGGAGUGGCGAACGGGUGAGUGACACGUGGGUGACCUGCCCUGCACUUCGGGAUAAGCCUGGGAAACUGGGUCGUAUAACGGAUAGUGUGGGAUGGGCCCGCGGCCUAUCAGAUGGUUGGUGGGGUAAUGGCAUACUAAGGCGGAGACGGGUAGCCGGCCUGAGCGGGUGGACGGCCAGAUUGGGACUGAGCCACGGCCCAGACUCCUACGGGAGGCAGCAGUGGGGAAUAUUGCACAAUGGGCGGAAGCAGUAUGCAGCUACGCCGAGUGGGUGAUGCCGGCCUUCGGGUUGUAACCUCCUUACACCAUCGACGCGGUAGAUGGAGAAGAAGCACCGGCUAACUACGUGCCAGCAGCCGCGGUAAUUC
rnacentral:rRNA from 1 species